rnacentral:lncRNA from 1 species
ACUGAAUUGAGAUAAAGCAGGAUACCUUAUUCCCUUUUUCACAUCUUUGUAGCUGAGACCAAAGAUGUUAAAACUGCUAAGAGGGAGACUACACCUGCAGAAACAAUUAUUGUACAUCAUAGAAUAGAUUUGCAGAGCAGAGCAGCUGGUGCCAAGGACCUGAUGACCACAGGAGAUCAUAUGGAGUGUUUUUACUUCAGCUCAGUCCUCAUCUGUCUCCAAAGCUCCAAAUGCCCAUCUGCAGACAGAAUGUCCUAGGUGAGCUUCCAAGCAUAUAUUCUUCCACUGUUUCACCUGCAGUGAAUCCAAUUCCAGAACCCUGAGACCACUCCAUUACAUGACUCCACCUAAGUGUGGAAAAGCAGAAGUCUUGGUUUAAAAAUGUACUUUCAAUGGAUGGUAAAAUGUAAAAGGCACCUACAUCUGCUAGGGAAUGUAGAUGUGUAAUGUUUACAUUUAAAAUUGCCUUCUCUUUUUGGUUGUUUUUUUUUUCUCUUUUUGUUUUUUUUCUGAAAAGGAAUUAUGUCUUUUAUAGAAGUAUAUGAAUGCUUUCCCACUGAUGCAGUAAAUCCAUGGGAGAGAAUACUGGCUUUUCAACAAUCCACCAAUAGUUUUUUGGGGCUAUUUGUUUAAAGUUGGUCCAAAAAGCUAUCACCAGUUAACAACAAACCUUUUAUUACAGAUGUAACUUCAAAGCUUUUCCAUGAAGCCAGUUGCUAUUAAAGUAUUUCCAGUAAAAGUACCUAUUCAUUAUUCAGUAAGUACAAUAUAAAAUAGUUCCAGCUACUGCACUGAAAAAGUCUUGGCCUCAGUAUUUCACAUUCAAAAGAAAUUUAUCACCUUGUUGUUCUUGCCAGAAAGACUAAUUAAUAUUAAAUCUUUUGAAUUUCUCUGGAUAAAACUGGCAUCUGAGAGCCUAGUAUGGUAUCAGAGUUCUUUAAAAUAAGUCAAUAAUAGAGAUUAGUACCUCUUGUGUAAUACUGUAUGCAUUGCAUUCUGUUACAUUUAUUAUACAAAUUGAAAUGAAUAAC